UUUAUAACAAGAGAUCCCAGCAGCUAAAAGAAGCCAGUCACUGGGAUUACUCAUAACUUGCCUUGUGAACUGCUCAAGGGAAUUUCUUGAAGAACUGUGUCAAAAUCAGCUUUGGAAACCAUUAAUUUGAGAGCUUUCCUUGACACAUAAAUUCUGAGAUUACUGUUGGUCAAGUUGGCGGGCUUGGAAAGAAGAUUCUUUUUGUUGGUACUGAGAGAAAAUUUUGUCAUUUUGUGCAAGGAAACGAGGAUAAAAUAGGCUUUUUUCCUCUCUGCAAGAAGAAAUCUGACGCAGUGGGAACUCAAUCACCCAGACACCAUGAAUGCUUGCAGAAGGAUACAUUCUCUCCGUGCUCACAGACAGAAAACUAAUGGAAACAGAAGUGAGAACUGGCACAGCACCUCUGGGUUCAAGCACCAGCAUGGAGAUGAUCUUGUUACAGUCCACACCCUUUACACAGUGAUCAUCAUGAUCCUCCUAGGGGCACUCUGGGGAGCCUGGUCGAGAAAGGAUUCAUCCUUAUAGCAGCUAUAUAGGAACUUUCUUUGUCAAAUAUUAAAAGAAGUAUUUGUGUCAAUUAUCCAUGCUCAAGAGGUACAAAAAAUGGUCUCAACCUAUUUCAGUUUACUUGAAACUGCUUAAAUGCUUGCUGCUUGUGGAAGUGAAACUAUGAAGCAAUUUAACAAGCCAUGUACAGAACAUCAUUUUGUGAGUAACGGAGACUCUUUGACCUGUACACAUUUGUAUUACCCUCAGCAUGUACAUGAAACUUUAAGCACGGUAUUCUAGAAAGAGGAGUUCAUCUUCUGUUUUAUUGGUCAAUAUUUUGUAUGUCCACCCCAGCUUUCCAUUUGUGAACUUGCUGAGUCUCUACCUCUGCUAAGUUUGCCUGUUCCAAUCCAUGGUAAAACACACACUGUAAGCAGGGAAAUAAUCUGCUGUGUCACAACAACAUAGGAAAAAAUAAUCAACAAACCCAGCUAUUCUGCUAGCAAAGGAAGAUCACUGAAAAAGUCAAAUUCUUAUCUCCAUUGCUGAAGAGAGUUUAUAUGGGACUUGCAUCCAUUAUCUUUAAUUUAUGGUAAUGACUUUGUAAACUCAGGAAUAAAAUUAUGGAAUAAGCUGCUUUUGUGAAUCCUUUGUCACAGAACCAGCUGGCUCAGUCUUCA